CUUUUCAUUUUUCAAUUAGAACAAUAACAUUUACAUGGAGAUGCAUUUGAGUUUCUUCUUCCCUUCUCCAGGGCAGUGUUUCCCUGAACAAAGUUCGAAUUUCCUUGUGGCCAUAAGAUCUAUCCAACUUAACCAAAUCACCAAUCAGUACAUAUAGUUCUGACAAGCUUUCUCUGUAUUCAUCUUAUCUGCUCUCUACUACAUUCUACAUUUUACUUUGAUCUAGCUAAAUAACUCACCCAAAAGACAAAAAUACAUAAAUAAAAAAAUUAAAAAUUAAUAAUAAUAAUUUUCACAUGAGAGUACUAUCUUUCUAACAUUUGUUUUAUUGGUUCCCAAAUUUUUUCAAAUUUCCCUAGUCCCAGUCAUAGUCUUGCAUUAAUUUGUUCCAUUUUGUAGACCUGUCUAACUCUGUCUCUCCACUGUGCCACCCUUGGGGGUUCUGUGUCCAGCCAUAAAACUGUAAUACACUUCUUGGCAGUCAUAAGCAGAAUUCUGAUUACGUAUGUCUCCAUUAUGUGUGUAUGAUUUUUGGUACAGCAUUCCCAGUACAAACCAUUUUAACUUAAAUUGUAAUUUCACCUUCAAGGUUCUUUCAAUUUCUCCCUAACACCUUCCCAGAAUGGUAUGAAUUUAGGGCAGUCCAAAAGUAUAUGUGAAAAGUCUCCCACUAGCCCGCAUUUUCUCCAACAUAAAUUUGAAACAUUACUAUUUAGACAUGAUAAGUGGAGUUUUAAAGCAUGCAUCUUCACCUUCCAUUCAAAUUCCCUCCAAGACGGACUAUUAGUUAGUUCAUGGCCUGCUUCAAGUAUUUCCUCCCAUUCCUCAUCUGUUAUCAUUAUGUUCACUUCCAGUUCCCAUUUUUCUUUAAUAUCUAUAUUCUUAACAAUCAAAUCCUGUUGUAAAGCUUUAUAUAUUUUGAAAUCAGUCCUUUUUGACAUGUCAUUUCUGUUUAACAUAAUCACUUCCUCCAUAUUAAGUUUAUCCUUGCUUGAAACUUUGCCUUAUUUUGAAAUAACUACUCUGUCUGUCUGUCCUAAAUAACAUAUUAAGCAUGAAAUUACGAAUUAUUGUGAAAUUACACGCACAGGAAGUGCUUUUAUUUUGUAGCAUUUGCUCAGUCAGCUCUCGAAGCUUCUCAGCAGACCAAGAAGAAGAGCGAGGGUUGGAGGUGCAUUAACCGUCGGAGGUCGCGCUUCUGUUCUGCAUCUGCACUUGACAGUCACUGGUUCUGCACCACUGAGCUAAAUAUGUGUAAAUGUAGAGCAUCUGCGUUCCUAUGAGCUGUCAGCCACACCGGGAAUCCUGUCUAUGAAUCUGCAGUCAGACUUCAAUGAUCCAACCCCACUCUCUGCACACAAGAUUGAUGGCAUGCUGCUGUUGACCCCCAAGAGGUUCAUACAAGUGAGACCACUGGAAUUACAUGAUGUCCACACAAGGCGUACCACUGUUCUCCAUGCCCUUCCUGUAUAUCUACGUGAGGAAACCUCUGGAUUUUUGAGGACAUGUGUGGUAAGUCCCAGUAUUGUAAAUUUGAACAAAUCAUUCUAUUUAUUUAUGCAUAAAGACAACACAAGGACAACGCACAUGAACAUUUUGGAAAAUGUGCCAUUGUUUCAACUACAAACCUUUGGCAAGAUGUUUAAGCCUGCCACACACGAGAGCAAUCAGCUGAGCAAACGGCCUCGAAGGACUGUUUGCUCAGCAGAUUGCUCGCCAUGUGCGCCUG